GAUGAACGCUAGCGGGAGGCCUAACACAUGCAAGCCGAGCGGUAUUUGUUCUUCGGAACAGAGAGAGCGGCGCACGGGUGCGGAACACGUGUGCAACCUGCCUUUAUCUGGGGGAUAGCCUUUCGAAAGGAAGAUUAAUACCCCAUAAUAUAUUGAGUGGCAUCACUUGAUAUUGAAAACUCCGGUGGAUAGAGAUGGGCACGCGCAAGAUUAGAUAGUUGGUGAGGUAACGGCUCACCAAGUCAAUGAUCUUUAGGGGGCCUGAGAGGGUGAUCCCCCACACUGGUACUGAGACACGGACCAGACUCCUACGGGAGGCAGCAGUGAGGAAUAUUGGACAAUGGGUUAGCGCCUGAUCCAGCCAUCCCGCGUGAAGGACGACGGCCCUAUGGGUGGUAAACUUCUUUUGGAUAGGGAUAAACCUACUCUCGUGAGAGUAGCUGAAGGUACUAUACGAAUAAGCACCGGCUAACUCCGUG
rnacentral:rRNA from 1 species